ACAGCACCAAUGGCCACAAGCCAGGCUGGUUCCCAAGUCUGAGUGGAAACAGCAAAGGGGAGCAACAGGCCUUCUGGGAACAGAUUUGCCCCAAGGACUGAACAGGAACUCUCAGAAGGGACCUACGUGACAGGAACCUGCCGCGAGGAGAAAGGACUGGGUACAGAACCAUGCAGUGUGAGGACCCUGGACAGAAAAAGCCCAGGCGUAAGAGGAGACAGAGCCAGGAAAGCUCCAGUCCAUUUGUUUUGCCUGCUGCCUGUUAUUUCAUGGUACAGUUUCAUCUAUCUGUUCUUCUUGUUGUUAGCAGCUGGAAUGCCUCACUCAACUUAAGAGACCAGGACGGCUUCUCUACGUAUCCUGACCACCAAAAGUCGUGGGCAGAGCUGGAACCAUCACUCGUAAUUUCAGAAACAGAAGAGCGCCUGGUGAAUAAAGCCCAAUGCCCAGUUUUUAUCCUGUGCUGCUGGCUCCAGGACCUAGGAACCAAUGCAUUCUAAAAUUGUAGCAUAGCUUCGGCGCCUGCGAAGUAUCCUCUGAAGUUGUACACUGUGUUGUAGCCUGUGGUCUGACUCUGA